ACGAACGCUGGCGGCGUGCCUAAUACAUGCAAGUAGAACGCUGAAGGAGGAGCUUGCUUCUCUGGAUGAGUUGCGAACGGGUGAGUAACGCGUAGGUAACCUGCCUGGUAGCGGGGGAUAACUAUUGGAAACGAUAGCUAAUACCGCAUAAUAGUAGAUGUUGCAUGACAUUUGCUUAAAAGGUGCAAUUGCAUCACUACCAGAUGGACCUGCGUUGUAUUAGCUAGUUGGUGAGGUAACGGCUCACCAAGGCAACGAUACAUAGCCGACCUGAGAGGGUGAUCGGCCACACUGGGACUGAGACACGGCCCAGACUCCUACGGGAGGCAGCAGUAGGGAAUCUUCGGCAAUGGACGGAAGUCUGACCGAGCAACGCCGCGUGAGUGAAGAAGGUUUUCGGAUCGUAAAGCUCUGUUGUAAGAGAAGAACGAGUGUGAGAGUGGAAAGUUCACACUGUGACGGUAUCUGACCAGAAAGGGACGGCUAACUACGUG
rnacentral:rRNA from 1 species